UAAACUACCAAUUGUUCGCCAAACAACUACGAGUAGCACUUAAAACUUAAAAGACUUGACGGUGCUUCACCACGACCUAGAGGAGCCUGUCCAAUAACCGACAAUCCACGAUUAAUCCAACCCCUUCUAGCCCAACAGUCUAUAUACCGCCGUCGCCAGCUUACCUUGUAAAAGAAAUAAAGUGAGCUUAACAGUACCACACUAAAACGACAGGUCGAGGUGUAACUUAUGAAGGGGCUAAGAUGGGCUACAUUCUCCAACUAAGAAUACGGACAACACUAUGAAACUAGUGUUUAAAGGCGGAUUUAGCAGUAAGAUAAGAAUAAAACACUUAACUGAACAUGACGCAAUGAAGUGCGUACACACCGCCCGUCAUCCCUGUCAUCAC
rnacentral:rRNA from 1 species